UCCACCGUGAGGGGAAUCUGAAGGAAUCUGGAGGCAAACUUCUGGUAUGAGAAACAGAAACUAAAUGUGUGGACUGUACUUCAACUGAAAGAGUAUGCAAUAGUAUUUCUAUCAUUGAGAGACAAUCUGUAAAAGGUAGAAUUAAGGUGUUUAUU
rfam:Clostridium amylolyticum strain DSM 21864 genome assembly, contig: Ga0131114_110